rnacentral:rRNA from 1 species
UACGGGGGGAGCAAGCGUUGUUCGGAUUUACUGGGCGUAAAGGGCGCGUAGGCGGUCAGCACAAGUCAGUUGUGAAAUCUCCGGGCUUAACUCGGAACGGUCAACUGAUACUGUGCGACUAGAGUGCAGAAGGGGCAACUGGAAUUCUUGGUGUAGCGGUGAAAUGCGUAGAUAUCAAGAGGAACACCUGAGGUGAAGACGGGUUGCUGGGCUGAUACUGACGCUGAGGCGCGAAAGCUAGGGUAGCAAACGGG